CAAUAUAGCAGUCAAGAAGAAGACGACCCUAUUAAUCUAAGUGGAGUUGAGCUAAAAAAUUAUCUAAAAGAUAUACCUCCUUUUAAUGCUGCAGAAGAAAAAAUAAAUGAUAACGGUAGUGUGCAGUCUGGGAUGUCAACAUCAUUCGAUUCAUUUUCAAAAAAAACCAAGCAAAAAAAACCUAAGAACAAGUCCUUGAGUAGCAUUGCUUUUUCUAGUAAAAAUGACGAUGCCAUAGUUGUAGAGGACAGUGAUAUAAAUGAUGAUGAUGUGCAGUCUGAGAUGUCAACAUCAUCCGAUUCAUUUUCAAUGACUUCCAAGCAAA